UACGUAGGGUGCGAGCGUUGUCCGGAAUUAUUGGGCGUAAAGGGCUCGUAGGCGGUCUGUCACGUCGGGAGUGAAAACUCGGGGCUUAACCCCGAGCCUGCUUCCGAUACGGGCAGACUAGAGGUAUGCAGGGGAGAAUGGAAUUCCUGGUGUAGCGGUGAAAUGCGCAGAUAUCAGGAGGAACACCGGUGGCGAAGGCGGUUCUCUGGGAAUGUCCUGACGCUGAGGAGCGAAAGUGUGGGGAGCGAACAGG
rnacentral:rRNA from 1 species